GACGAACGCUGGCGGCGUGCUUAACACAUGCAAGUCGAACGGUGAAGCGCCUUCCUUUUUGGUGGGUGUGGAUGAGUGGCGAACGGGUGAGUAACACGUGAGUAACCUGCCCCCUUCUUCUGGAUAACCGCAUGAAAGUGUGGCUAAUACGGGAUAUUCUGGGUCUGUCGCAUGAUGGGUCUGGGAAAGAUAUUGUUUCGGUGGGGGAUGGGCUCGCGGCCUAUCAGCUUGUUGGUGGGGUGAUGGCCUACCAAGGCGGUGACGGGUAGCCGGCCUGAGAGGGUGGACGGUCACACUGGGACUGAGACACGGCCCAGACGCCUACGGGAGGCAGCAGUGGGGAAUAUUGCACAAUGGGCGCAAGCCUGAUGCAGCGACGCCGCGUGAGGGAUGGAGGCCUUCGGGUUGUGAACCUCUUUCGCCAGUGAAGCAGGCCUGCCUCGUUUGUGGGUGGGUUGACGGUAGCUGGAUAAGAAGCGCCGGCUAACUACGUG
rnacentral:rRNA from 1 species